UGAAGCUGGAAUUGCUAGUAAUGGCAGGUCAGCAUACUGCCGUGAAUACGUUCCCGGGCCUUGUACACACCGCCCGUCACACCAUGAGAGUUGGAAAUACCCGAAGCCUGUGGGCUAACUUAAAGAGGCAGCAGUCGAAGGUAGAGCCAAUGAUUGGGGUGAAGUCGUAACAAGGUAGC
rnacentral:rRNA from 1 species